rnacentral:rRNA from 1 species
UACGAAGGGGGCUAGCGUUGUUCGGAAUUACUGGGCGUAAAAGGGCUCGUAGGCGGCCAACUAAGUCAGACGUGAAAUCCCUCAGCUUAACUGGGGAACUGCGUCUGAUACUGGAUGGCUUGGAUUUGGGAGAGGGAUGCGGAAUUCCAGGUGUAGCGGUGAAAUGCGUAGAUAUCUGGAGGAACACCGGUGGCGAAGGCGGCAUCCUGGGACCAAUAUUGACGCUGAGGAGCGAAAGCCAGG